UCCCUGGUGGCUCAGAUGGUGAAGAACCCAUUUGUAAUGGAGGAGACCCAGGUUCAAUCCCUGGUUGGGGAA
rnacentral:tRNA from 1 species